GCGCUCCUUGGACAGGGAGUGCUGCGGACUCACUCUUCGCCCCUCCUCUCCUCCGUCCCACGCCAGCGAGCGAGUGUACCGGUCCAUGCGGAGGGCGAGCCACUCAGCUCUUCUUUGUGUGCAUCGCAUGCACGCUUUUCUCGGUGCACAGGGGUGCGACGAUGUCGGGGGACGCGCUGGGGCCUCUCUUUUCGUUGACCAGUGGAGGAGCGCUCUUUGCUCUGCCCGCGAGUGUUCCUUCGCGUUUACGUUGUGGCUGCGAAUGGGCCGCAGUGACCUUGUGGCCCCCUCUCUCUCGUUCUUUCCGCUGCCCGUGUCUACAGAAUAAGCUGCACACACACGACCCCCUUCAUGUCUCCAUCCGGAGCGACCGGAAGCUGGAAGGGCAGGCGGUCCCGCACUCUCGCCCGCACGCAUGCCCGAUGUUGGAUCGAUGGAGGCAAAUGUGCUGACUCGCCCAAUGGCCUCGGUGUAUCUCUUCUUCCUUUCUCACGCUGGCGAAGAAGCGGAAGUGCUCGCAUGCACACACGCGAGCGGCAGACGAGACGGAUGCGAAGUAAUGGAACAUGAAGGCAUCGUACAAAGGUGCGCACACAUACGCAAGCUGACAUGCGUCGCUCACCCCACCCCCACCCACCCUCCGCCACUAAUGACUAAAUUUGCGACUCUUCUGCUUUUCUCGCUUCUGUCUUUGAGCAGAUCCCGGACUCUUCUCUGUCAUGGCCCAAGUGAAUUUUUCUGUUUUGUUCUCACGCUCUCCUUAGCGGUUGUGGGUGCAGAGAAGAAGGCUUGAUGUCUACAAAAUGGAGGGCGACACACAUACACGCUCACGCCCGUGCUGUGGCCUAGCAGGGAUCGUGAGAACAAGCAGCGGAAGACAUGCUCGCGCAUAAGGAUACUGUUUUUUUUUUUUUUUCGUUUUUUGUUGUUGCCGUUACUGUUUUGAAGUGCCGGUUGGGACAGCUAGCACGCGUUCGCACGCAUACGCCCCUGCAGGCCCAUUCUCACUCUCUAUCCUCCUGUCUGUCUCGAUAUAUAGCCCACACAUACUCAGGAAUGAUGGGGGCCCUCGGAUCUCUUCCAUUUGUUGUAGUGAAGUCUGCCACGGCCCAUCCUCUCUCUCUGUCUUCGUGUGUGUGUGGGUGGGUGUGUUUGGUUUCUGUGCCUUGUAUGUUCGUCUGCCUUAUAGCUUACAUCCCAUUCCUCAUGUACAGCCCCUCCCUCCCUCCCCCUGCCUUCCGUGAUCAUCACACGGCUCUACGUACAUGCCCAGUAAUAUUACAGCACACACACACACACAUAUAUGUGUACAUAUAGGAAAAACAUGGGUGGAGGUGGGUGGAGGAAUCAAAAAAAGGUCCCCUUUUUGCACCGCUCUCCUGCUAUUGUUCAUAUCUGUUUUUUUUUGUUGUUGUCGCCGUCCUUGUUUGCUUCGUUUUUUCUUUAUUGUGUGUGCUAUGCGCGCAUCUAUCGGCGUGUUGUACACCGUGUGCCCCCCUCCUCCUCCUCCUCCUCCAUUGCCUCGUUUUCUCUUCAGUUGUUCGCGCUUACCUGUCGAGUGAGGGUGGUUCACGGCGUGACGUCCUACUCUUUUCCCUUUGCCUCUUAUUGUAGGUGGGAUGGUCCUCCCUGAGUCCGCACUCAUCUCGUGCCUCUUUUUCGAAUGUUCCAACGCGUCCGUGGCUGCUGUUGGUUGCCGCCCCCCCCCGUCUGUUUCUCAUUCUCCUUCUGUCAGUGUACACCCCACCCCCUUGUGCGGCCGCAGCGCUGGGGUUGUGUUGUGGCACCUCUCAUAACCUGUUGGUUUCCGUGGCACAUUCUAGAACCGCGGAGAGAGAAGAAUGAAGUGGGACGAGGGGCACAGCAGAGGAGCCCACCGCAUCUGGUAAUUCCCUCUCUUCCAAUUCCGGGUGCUUUUCACGCCACGCUGUCGUUCUCACUCGACAGUGUAGCAACCACCUCGUCGCCGCCUUUGAUGGAGGUGGAGGGGUGUGUCACAUGAAUGACUAUGCUUAUGCCCCGUACACGUGCGGCGUCUUCUUUUCCUUUCGCCUUUGUUUCUCGACGCGGAAUGCUUGUGUGUGUCUGUGGCGUUGCUUCACAGCUACUAUCCCUUCUAUGUGUUGAUCUUCAUGCUUUCCUUUUCUCUCUACUUGCCCUCCGCCCUGCUCGUCCCAACAACGGCUGUCAUUAAGAGCACUUGGCCGUGUAAAAGUGUAGGUGUGGAUGUGAGGUGUGCGACCAUGGUAUGUCGGUGGUGGGUGGAGGGAGGUCGAGCAGGGAGAAAUGCUGCAAGCCCACGCACACUCUUGCGUCACCCGCACACAAGCAUCCAUGCAUAACCGCGCAACUGUGUCUUUUCGUGUGAGCCCACGGUGAACUGUGUUGCCCCUGCGCAACGCAGCUGCCUCACCACCUCUGCACCCCUCCCUCAUCCCCGCCCCCUCUAUAUUUCCUCCCCACCUUUCUCGGUACGCCCAUAGAAGUGCAUGAGGACGGUAGCGCCCGCUUCUUUUCCUUCCUGCUUGAGUAGCUCAUCCUCAUUUCUGUUGAUGCUCUCCUUUAUCUCUUUGUAUGCUUGUGCGUGUGUGUGUAGGGCGGGGGGUCUGUGUGAUCUCUCUCUAUUUUGUGUUCUAAUACAGUAUAUCGGAAAGCCCUCGCAUGGCUGCCUUCGUGCAGUCUGUGCGUCACUUCUGCUUUUUUUCUCUUUCUUCUUCCCAGCAAACACCCUCAACAUCCCUGCGGCAUCCCGCAUAAGUCUCACUCUCCCUCUGCCUUUCCCUCCCUCUCAGAUGCCGCUGUCUGCAAUGUGUGCACGAAGGCCGACGCAUUACGGUAUAGAUGUACCCAAGAGCGUUGAAUGGUGGUGGCUAUCGCUUCUCCUGCCCUCCCUCUUGUCCCCCUCUCCUGCAGCUCGUGCGAUGAGAUCGCACUGAGAAAAACGCUCGUGUCGCCGGGAUAGUGCCCAGAGGGCUGAUCAGCUGUUAUUAUAGGUGCAGGCAUAUGUCUUGUGUCCAGCUCAUCUCCCACACUUAAGCCACGGAGUUUGAUGGGUUUUGAAUCCUCUCCUUCCCAUUGCGAAAGCGCUGUGCCCUCCUGUAGGGGGCACCUCAGCUGUUUCUCCCGGGCGGCUGCCGGCAACGACGUACGGGCGUGUGCGCGUGUGCUUGGCGGCUCUCUUUCGUCUCUCUCCUGCCGGGGAGGAUGGCAGCUAGUUUUGCCACCUCGUGUGUGAGCUCCAGUCAGCGCCACCCGGCCAACCCCCAUCACGUCAGCCGGCGGGCAAGAGAAUAUGGUGGGCAGGGAAGGGUGGGCCCUGCGCUUUGGGAGAAGGCAUCGAAAGGGCAAACAGCGAUUCCGUAGGGGCACAGCACAGAAGCCAGGCCCCCCCCCACCUGGCGACGUCUAACAAGUUUGCGAGGUCGCCCAUCACAGACUAGUGGAUGGCGAUGGAGCCCCUCAACAGAGAGAUGGCCUUCUACACCUUUUUCCUUGCCCCCAUUCUCUCUCCCUCUUACCCGGUCCUCACGAUGGGUUUUUCCCUUGUAGUCUCUGCCGCUUGUUGCGUUGCUGUUGCCCCCUCUUUUGCCCUUCGUUUCUCGUCUGCAUUGAAUUUUUAACGGGUACGACGUGGUCUGCCUGCACACACAUGAUACCUCUGGGACAUCUCAUCGGUGUAUCUCUCCUAUUCUCUUCUGUGGCCCUCCCCCCACCCGCCGCUAGGUGUCCCGGUUGAGGUGCAUGUGUGCGUGCAUCGGCAGCGAAUCGACAGCGUUGCUGUGAUUCCUCUCUCUCAUUGGCGUGUGUGUGUGUCUACUUUGUCGUGCUUGCUUACCUUUCUUAUGCUACGCCCCUGCGCUGUGUAUCUUGAUCGGCUUUCCUUCCCUCCCCCUCCCCCCUCUCCGCCCCAAACCCUUCCUCGCCUUUUCCAUGCUUUCUCUCUCUAUACAUAUAUCUUUAGUAGGCGUCUAGAUGAUCCUGUGAUUCGCCGCUGCUUCUCCCCCACCUCGUCCCUCGUCCUUCGACUUGUCUGCGUUUUCCCUCUAUGCGCGUGGGUGUGUAGAGCGUCCUUCUCGUGUAUAUACUUAAAUGCAUAUAUCUUCUUUUCUUGAGAUUCAAGUGUUGCCACCUCGUCCAUGACCGCAUGUUUUGCCGCUGUGUUGUGCUCAUUCUUUACCCUCCCUCUCUCUUUCCCCUUCUGGUGCAUGAGCAUCUUCCUCCUGGUAUGGCCCCUCAAUGCGGACGCGCACGUGAGUCGGUUGUAUGUCUUAUUGUGCACACACACACACUCUCCUCCUCCUCACCUUCGCUGGCCGGGAGCCGUUCUUCCCUUCUCUGCUUCUUACGCUCGCUCGCGCAUGGGCGAAUCCCGACGGUACUGGGCACGUGCGCCUGCGGAGUAAUUAGCACAGAGGUAGAAAAGGAUCGGAGGUGCUCCCCGUUUGCGCGGAGAACAUGAUGGUUUGCCAAACGGGGAGCGCGCCACCACUCCACCGCUUAUUCGGCGCGGCCACCAUCACAGCAGGGCCAUGUAGCUUCGCGUAAGCUGAUUUGCUGCCUAAAUUGGCUCUGUGCUCGAAGGGAGGGGGAGGUGAAUGGCACAAAGUACGUGUGCACGCUUGCUCACCUCCACCCUCCCCACACACACACAAACCUUGCCCCGUCGGUGCGAGACAUGCCGAGCCACCCG
rnacentral:misc_RNA from 1 species